rnacentral:rRNA from 2 species
AUCCAAAGAGGGUGCUAGACCCUUACGCAUUGUUGACUUUUCGUACGCGUUCGUUUCUUGGAGUAGGGUUGUUUUGGAUCGCAGCCCAAAGUAGGUGGUAUACUUCAUCUAAAGCUAAAUACGACUACGAAUCCGAUAGCAAACAAGUACCGUGAGGGAAAGUUGCAAAGUACUUUGAAGAGAGAGUUCAAGAGGACGUGAAACCGGUAGGGUGGAAGCAGAUAAAGUUGACGAACGUGUGUCGUAUUCAGAACUACAAUUUGUGGUUUGUUUUUACGAUCGAUGUGGGCUGGCGUCUUUGGUUAACUUAGUGUCUGGCGGCAAUGGUGACCCUGCGGAGGGAUAAUCGGUUGUCGUGCGAUGCUUGGUAUGGCUAGAGGUUCGCUGGUCUUAUAGUCAUCGCUUUAUCUGACCCGUCUUGAAACACGGACCAAGGAGUGUAGCGCUUACGCGAGUCUUAGAGUGUGUCAAAACUUUGAGGCGUAACGAAAGUAAAUGUGGAUUUAUUCACUGACUUGGGAUGCGUUGUCUUUUUUGGAUAGCGUUGGACCAUGGUUUUAUCGUAAUCGCUUGCGAUGCGGUGAAAAUAGAGCGUAAGCGGUGCGACCCG